rnacentral:rRNA from 1 species
UUAUGGCUCAGGACGAACGCUGGCGGCAUGCCUAACACAUGCAAGUCGAACGGAGUAAUGACUUCGGUUAUUACUUAGUGGCGAACGGGUGAGUAACACGUGAAUAAUCUGCCCUGUACGAUGGGAUAACAGCUGGAAACGGCUGCUAAUACCGUAUAUGACCACGCCGAGGCAUCUCGGAGGGGUGAAAGCGCUUAAGCGGUACAGGAUGAGUUCGCGUCCAAUUAGCUAGUUGGUGAGGUAACGGCCCACCAAGGCGACGAUUGGUAGCCGACCUGAGAGGGUGAUCGGCCACACUGGAACUGAGACACGGUCCAGACUCCUACGGGAGGCAGCAGUGGGGAAUAUUGGGCAAUGGAGGAAACUCUUUAACCCCCAGCAAUGCCGCGUGAGUGAUGAAGGUCUUCGGAUUGUAAAGCUCUUUGAUUGGGGACGAAUAAAUGACGGUACCCAAGGAACAAGCCCCGGCUAACUAUGUGCCAGCCGCCGC